rnacentral:lncRNA from 1 species
UAGCCAGCUUGGAAUGUUACUGACAUGUGGUAAGAGAGCCAGCCAGAAAUACUUAGAGCUGGAGAGAUCAGAGCAGGGGCGGGAGUCAGGAAGGGCAGAGCUCUUAAGGCAAUUCAUGCCUCUAGUGCUCUGUGCUUGCUAAAAGUGUUCCUAAGGACACCUUUUCUAAACCCCUGUGCAUUUUGUAGUCCUGCCCCACACUCCUUGGUAUCAAGUGAUCUUAAAGAAAGGCAGAGCAUUCCAAACCAAAGGAACUUGUAGGUAGGUUUUGUCGUAUGGUGCUCUGAGGAGAGAAAACUCCUGAGGCUUUGGUGAAAUGUGUAUUUUGUGUGUACCUCUCCCCUGCUUAAAUGCUAGGGCUGGAGCAGGACCUUCCGUAUGCCAGGCAAGUGCAGCUCUAGCCUCAACCUGCGCUCCCAUCCUGCUCACUGCCUGUAGCUUCAGUGAUGAUAGGAUGUGUCCGUCCGCAGGCACGAGGAGAGGGUGAAGUAGAAGCCAUGGUAAACUAGCGCAAAGGAACUCAAUGUGCGAAUGAGUGAUUCUUGCAAUUUUUAAGUCUUGACUCAGUGUGGAGAAAGAUGCUGUGGCUUUAGGCCCUCCUUCCCUCACUUUUGGCCCAUUUCCUAUGUCCUUAGGAGUGUGUGGCAGGCUUACUUUGUGUCUGCCUUUUCUCCCUUUAUCCUAAAGAAGGGCGCCAUCCCUUCUCAUGUGAAUCAGUCUGAGUCUUGCCUGGUCUGGCUUGAAUCUGCGCACGGCAUCUUUCCACUGCCUGGAGAAGCCCCAGAGAACAUACACUGGCCUCUUUUCCUCUUUGAAGGAGCCAGUAAAAUCAUUGAGUGGGUUUCUCUGAUGUCAGAUGAGUUUCACUUUCUCCAAGGUGUAGUCCCUUAUUGCCACAGUGUUGACUUACUCUGUCCAGUGCAUCCGGCAUCCUUUUAACAUUGAGGUGUGACUGUCAUCUAUAGAUAUGCUAGAUUGCAUUCCUGACUGUUCUGGGACACAUGUGGCCCAUGGCUGGACUCUUCCUGUAAUACAGUGACCAAAGAAAGUAUUAAUUUAUAAUUAAACUUAUCCAUACUGUUUUGGCCUUUUCCAACAUUGGAUAUAGGGCACAAGGACAUACAUUUAAAAUAAAUUAUAAGAAAUUAGGGUGAUGAGAUGGCUUAGCAAGUAAAGGAACUUGCUGACAAGCCUGAUUACCUAAAUUUAAUCCCCGUGAUCCCAGAAAAGUAACGCCUACAAAUUGUCCUCUGACCUCCACAUACCUGCCUUGGUACUACCAUUACCCACACAUAAACAAAUUAAUAAAUGUAAUUUUAAAAGAAAC